rnacentral:rRNA from 1 species
GACGAACGCUGGCGGCGUGCUUAACACAUGCAAGUCGAACGGAAAGGCCCUGCUUUUGUGGGGUGCUCGAGUGGCGAACGGGUGAGUAACACGUGAGUAACCUGCCCUUGACUUUGGGAUAACUUCAGGAAACUGGGGCUAAUACCGGAUAGGAGCUCCUGCUGCAUGGUGGGGGUUGGAAAGUUUCGGCGGUUGGGGAUGGACUCGCGGCUUAUCAGCUUGUUGGUGGGGUAGUGGCUUACCAAGGCUUUGACGGGUAGCCGGCCUGAGAGGGUGACCGGCCACAUUGGGACUGAGAUACGGCCCCGACUCCUAAGGGAGGCAGGAGUGGGGAAUAUUGCACAAUGGGCGGAAGCCUGAUGCAGCAACGCCGCGUGCGGGAUGACGGCCUUCGGGUUGUAAACCGCUUUCGCCUGUGACGAAGCGUGAGUGACGGUAAUGGGUAAAGAAGCACCGGCUAACUACGUG